rnacentral:pre_miRNA from 2 species
AAUAUACUCCCUCCGUCCAGAAAUACUUGAGAAGGAAAUACUUGUCAAAGGAAUGAAUGCAUCUAGAUGUAUUUUAGUUUUAGAUACAUUUUCUUUAUCAAUUUAUGUGACAAGUAAUUUCGGACGGAGAAAGUACUAC